UACGAGGGGGGCAAGCGUUGUUCGGAAUUAUUGGGCGUAAAGGGUGCGUAGGCGGUUUAGUAAGUCUUAUGUGAAAUCUACAGGCUCAACUUGUAGUCUGCAUGAGAAACUGCCGGGCUUGAGUAUGGGAGAGGUGAGUGGAAUUCCUGGUGUAGCGGUGAAAUGCGUAGAUAUUCGCAAGAACACCAGUGGCGAAGGCGGCUCACUGGCCCAUAACUGACGCUGAGGCACGAAAGCGUGGGGAGCAAACAGG
rnacentral:rRNA from 1 species